rnacentral:rRNA from 1 species
CCCUUAGAUGUUCUGGGCCGCACGCGCGCUACACUGACUGACUCAACGAGUUUACAACCUGUGCCGAAAGGUAUGGGUAAUCUUUUGAAAUUCAGUCGUGAUGGGGCUAGAUUAUUGCAACUAUUAAUCUUCAACGAGGAAUGCCUAGUAAGCGCGAAUCAUCAGUUCGCGUUGAUUACGUCCCUGCCCUUUGUACACACCGCCCGUCGCUACUACCGAUUGAACGUUUUAGUGAGGUAUUUGGACUGGACCUUCGGAGGUUCGCGCCUCCGUUGCUGUUCGGGAAGACGCCCAAACUUGAGCGUUUAGAGGAAGUAAAAGUCGUAACA